rnacentral:rRNA from 1 species
GACGAACGCUGGCGGCGUGCUUAACACAUGCAAGUCGAGCGGUAAGGCCCUUUCGGGGGUACACGAGCGGCGAACGGGUGAGUAACACGUGGGUGACCUGCCUUUAGCUCUGGGAUAAGCCUGGGAAACCGGGUCUAAUACCGGAUAUGACUCCGCGGCGCAUGUUGUGGGGUGGAAAGCCUUGUGCGGCUGGAGAUGGGCCCGCGGCCUAUCAGCUUGUUGGUGGGGUGAUGGCCUACCAAGGCGACGACGGGUAGCCGGCCUGAGAGGGCGACCGGCCACACUGGGACUGAGACACGGCCCAGACUCCUACGGGAGGCAGCAGUGGGGAAUCUUGCGCAAUGGGCGAAAGCCUGACGCAGCGACGCCGCGUGAGGGAUGACGGCCUCGGUUGU